CCUACGGGGUGCAGCAGUAGGGAAUAUUGCUCAAUGGGGGAAACCCUGAAGCAGCAACGCCGCGUGGAGGAUGAAGGUUUUCGGAUUGUAAACUCCUUUUGUUAGAGAAGAUAAUGACGGUAUCUAACGAAUAAGCACCGGCUAACUCCGUGCCAGCAGCCGCGGUAAUACGGAGGGUGCAAGCGUUACUCGGAAUCACUGGGCGUAAAGAGCGCGUAGGCGGGAUAGCAAGUCAGAUGUGAAAUCCUAUGGCUUAACCAUAGAACUGCAUUUGAAACUGUUAUUCUAGAGUGUGGGAGAGGUAGGUGGAAUUCUUGGUGUAGGGGUAAAAUCCGUAGAGAUCAAGAGGAAUACUCAUUGCGAAGGCGACCUGCUAGAACAUAACUGACGCUGAUGCGCGAAAGCGUGGGGAGCAAACAGGAUUAGAUACCCCAGUAGUC
rnacentral:rRNA from 1 species